rnacentral:rRNA from 1 species
GACGAACGCUGGCGGCGUGCUUAACACAUGCAAGUCGUACGGUAAGGCCCUUUCGGGGGUACACGAGUGGCGAACGGGUGAGUAACACGUGAGUAACCUGCCCACAACUUUGGGAUAACGCUAGGAAACUGGUGCUAAUACUGGAUAUGUGCUCCUGCUGCAUGGUGGGGGUUGGAAGGCUCCGGCGGUUGUGGAUGGACUCGCGGCCUAUCAGCUUGUUGGUGGGGUAGUGGCCUACCAAGGCGGCGACGGGUAGCCGGCCUGAGAGGGUGACCGGCCACAUUGGGACUGAGAUACGGCCCAGACUCCUACGGGAGGCAGCAGUGGGGAAUAUUGCACAAUGGGCGCAAGCCUGAUGCAGCAACGCCGCGUGCGGGAUGACGGCCUUCGGGUUGUAAACCGCUUUCAGCAGGGACGAAGCUUUUUGUGACGGUACCUGCAGAAGAAGCACCGGCUAACUACGUG